rnacentral:lncRNA from 1 species
AUCUUAAAACAUUUUAUUCGGUGCAGAAAUUCUAAGGUACAAAAACAACAUUUUGCAAUUGUCAGCUGUGACCUACUGCCACCUAUUUACAGUUAUGUACAAAUCAAAUAAGACACUGUUUUCAAUGUAAAAAUAUAGCACACUGCUACAGUCUGUCAGUGCUCACUAUUCCACCAAACCCCACCAAUGACAAUCUUAAAGAAGAAACAAAGACAAUGACAACAACCACCAUGUUCAUGUUCCACAGGCUUUUCCCCCAGAACGUAGUAGAGGGAGCUUCUGUAGUAAAAAAAAAAAAGUGAAAAUAGAAGUUACCUAAUCUCUAAAUGAACACAUGUGGUUUUUACAAAAGUUUUUGCUCUGUCCAGACUCACCAUGUUUUUUCUUGAGGAAAAAAAUGAAACUUUUAAAUAACAGUUACACAUGAGUGUGACCCGAUGGUAGUUUUUUCAUCUAAUGGAUGGAGCAGGCAACUUUGUCUACAUCGUGUACAAACAGGAGUAUGGUUCUUUGAAUCUUCUCGACUGAAAUUUUACUUGACAUAAACAUCAGACACGAUCAUAAUUGGUUUGCUCUUGUCAGACUUCUGACUGGAGAAAACACAGUGUUGAGUCCAUUCAGAGCCAUGACUCUAGCCAGAGUUGGAAUCAUGACUUCAGAACACAGGAAAGCUCCUGAAGAGUCUGUGGUCCCAGAUGAAUUUCAGGGAGAAACCAAAGAACAGGAGGGAAGACAAUUGGCCAAAAUUCCCCAGGAGGUCCUCCCUCACUCUCUUUGCAAAUCAGCUCUUAGCAACUGCUCUGUAUCUCACCAGGGGCUAAACUGAAGUCCAAACCAUUUCAUAAUAUUGUGAGUCAUGAAUUAAAGGUGAUGUUUACAGAUACGUAAAAAUAGAAUACAAAAUUGUGAGGGAGGGGUAGCUGCCACUCAGAUGGUAAGAGCUAGUCUUGAAGAGUAUCUUGAAGAAGCUCAGGAAUAAGCACCAAGUAUCUGACCACAGGAGUGGGGGGAAAAACAUAACAGGCUAUUGCUGGGCAGGGGGAUAGAUGUAGCAACCAAAUAAUCCUCAGAAUGAAUAUAGGCAAUAUACCACUUCUUAAAAGUGCCAUUAUAGUUUUAAAUAGUAAGAGAAGCCGGGCACAUGAGGAUUUCCCUAUAAUCCCCAUCCAGAGCUUGGCCUCCACAAGGCACCAAUGUGAAUAAGGCACCAUGUUCUGUUUGCACAACCAAACGGAGCAUGAAGCUGAGACACAGAAGAGCAGUGAAAAUUAUCAAGCCCUUGCAAAACAAGAGCUAUGAAGAAUGGUUUAAGUAGGUGGGAUUAUUUACCAGGGGGAUGACUUCACUGUGGUUUCCAAAUACACGGAAGGUAACCAGCUGUUCUUUUUCCACUACAUGCAGAACAAAAGAAAGCUGGUUUGAAUUUCUGUAAGACGUACAAAGAACUAUCUGAUCAGCAGGGUAGGUUACUGAAUUUCCCUCACUGAAAAUCCAGAAUCCCAUCCAUAGCCAUAUGUCUGAAAUAAUUCAGGCUCAGCCCCGGCUGACACCAGAGCGGGGAAACAUGCUAGAUGAUCCAAACUUUCUCCCAGCUCCAAAACUCUGAAAUUGGAAUCCAAGCUAUUGGCUUACAGUCAGACUUCCUUUUGUUUAUUUCCACCCUGAGCCUGGAAAGGAGGUGACAUAGAAAGGAUGACCCAACACCCCAUGAGGACUCCUAACUGAUCUCUCAGUAUCAGGAAAAGCUUUUCUCCAUAUACUGUUUCACAUCUCCAAAACAGAGUCAAUUCACAGAUCAUUUAAAACAGAAGACAAUGCAAAUACCUGGCUCUCGUGGACACUUGGGAUUCCUUGCCCCACUCCCCGCAAUCCCUGCUUUUCUCAUUAAGCCUUGGCCUAAAUUCAUAAUUGCACAUCAUUUAAAGAAUUAUUAAGCCAAGAACUAAAGCUAUAAAUAGGUCCUUUAGAUUGUGGAGUUUAAGUGAAAAUUGUUCCAAGUGUUAUGUUUUUAAAAUUGGAGAACAUAAAUCUGAUUUUGAAAUUAGUAACUGGCUUGCCUUUCUCUUAAGGCACCAUGAAAUGUAAAGAAGCAAUCAAAAUAUUUCAAAUACAUUCACAAUUCUAUCAGACUUCUUUGGGGGAGCAAGUUGGGGAAAAAGAAAUCUAGCCAUCAGCUGCAUUUAGUGAGAGCAUUUUCUGGUGAUACCAGACAUCUGUAAUCACCAUGAAUGCUUUUCAUUUCAAAUCUUACAAGGCAGAGGUGACAAACUGGCAGCUAGGGGACAAAUCAGGCCCGCUCAUGUGUUCUGUUGAGCCUGAAUUGAAAAAAAAAUUAUUUAGCUGCCAACACUCUAAAAAAAUUAUAAUUUUUCACAUAAAAACCCAGAUUCUCGGGGUGCCUGGGUGGUUGGCUCAGUUGGGUUAAGCAUCUGACUCUUGAUAUUAGGUCAGGUCUUGAUCUUGAAACCAUGAGUUCAAGCCCUGUAUUGGACUCCACACUGGCAUGGAGUCUACUUAAAAAAAAAAAAAAAAAAAAAAAAAAAAGAAUCCAGAUUCUCAGCUUCUCUUGAAAAAUGGGAAAAUCAGUAAGUACCACAUGGCCACAACUGACUGGAAUAGCUGCCUUCCUAGAAGUGGGACAGGAAGCACUUCAGUUUGCCACAGUCCUCGCCAUGCCCUAUGGCCUCUCUGACACUGAGAAGGUAGGUCAUUGCCAUUUAUCACCACACCUUAUUUAUCAUUAUUCCUGGCCUGCUGCACUGGCUACCCUUGAAGGCAUAGCAUCUGCUAAGUAAGAGCAGCAGUCUUCACAAACAAUUUAAAACAGAAAAGGCUAAUAACUUUCACAUUGGUAC